rnacentral:rRNA from 1 species
GUACACUCCUGCGGGAGGCAGCAGUGGGGAAUAUUGGACAAUGGGCGCAAGCCUGAUCCAGCCAUGCCGCGUGAGUGAUGACGACCCUAGGGUUGUAAAGCUCUUUCACCGGAGAAGAUAAUGACGGUAUCCGGAGAAGAAGCCCCGGCUAACUUCGUGCCAGCAGCCGCGGUAAUACGAAGGGGGCUAGCGUUGUUCGGAAUUACUGGGCGUAAAGCGCACGUAGGCGGAUCGAUCAGUCAGGGGUGAAAUCCCAGGGCUCAACCCUGGAACUGCCUUUGAUACUGUCGAUCUGGAGUAUGGAAGAGGUGAGUGGAAUUCCGAGUGUAGAGGUGAAAUUCGUAGAUAUUCGGAGGAACACCAGUGGCGAAGGCGGCUCACUGGUCCAUUACUGACGCUGAGGUGCGAAAGCGUGGGGAGCAAACAGGAUUAGAAACCCGGGUAGUCC